UGGGGAAUAUUGCACAAUGGGCGCAAGCCUGAUGCAGCCAUGCCGCGUGUGUGAAGAAGGCCUUCGGGUUGUAAAGCACUUUCAGCGGGGAGGAAGGCGAUAAGGUUAAUAACCUCAUCGAUUGACGUUACCCGCAGAAGAAGCACCGGCUAACUCCGUGCCAGCAGCCGCGGUAAUACGGAGGGUGCAAGCGUUAAUCGGAAUUACUGGGCGUAAAGCGCACGCAGGCGGUCUGUCAAGUCGGAUGUGAAAUCCCCGGGCUCAACCUGGGAACUGCAUUCGAAACUGGCAGGCUAGAGUCUUGUAGAGGGGGGUAGAAUUCCAGGUGUAGCGGUGAAAUGCGUAGAGAUCUGGUGGAAUACCGGUGGCGAAGGCGGCCCCCUGGACAAAGACUGACGCUCAGGUGCGAAAGCGUGGGGAGCAAACAGG
rnacentral:rRNA from 1 species